AUGGAGAGGAAUAUGACUCGCUUUAUUCAUCAUUGUAUGAUACCUGAUUUUAGGGAGCUAAUAUAUAAAGCAACCACGCCAAGUCAGUUUGUUCGCAGAUGGAAAAAAUUUGUUGAGGCACACAAGAUUGGUGAGGGUAAGAAAAGUUACAAGUGGAUGUCAAGGAUGUACAAAAUCCAAAAACUGUGGGCAGCUAGUUAUGUCACGAACAAAUACUUUUUGGGUGCACAGAGUAAUCAGCGCAGUGAAAGCCUAAAUUCCCAAUUGCAUACUCACUUGAACAGAAAAAUGACAUUAGCAGAUAUGGAAGAACAUUCCUUUCGCUGUGUUAAACGUAUCAGAAGAAAUGAGUAUGAAUUGGAUUGCGUAGCUUCACAAUCUUUGCCAGUGCUCAUUACAGAACAUAAACCUUUGGAAAUGGAUGCAGAGAAGUGCUUCACUCUAGCAAAUUUUCAGUUGGUUCAGAAGGAGAUUGAAAGGUCGUCAAAUUAUGAGAUUGUUGAGAUAUUGGAAAAUGAAAAUUGCAUAAAGUACAUUGUUAGUGCCAGAGAGUACACAAGUGUCCGCUUUGUCGAAUGUGAUGAUGAGGAGACACUUGCAAAUAUUAAGUGCAACUGCCUAAAAUUU
rnacentral:rRNA from 1 species